AACACUAACAUGGCAAUAUCAGAUACAUCAUGUUGUUACAAGGUGAUCUAGAAAGUACUUUCAGUAAUAAACUAUAGGUUUGUAGUAUUAUACACGCCUGUGCAGUGUUUUUGUUUCAAAGUAAUCUACUGGGAACAUGUCCACAUAUUUAAAUGGCCAAGGAAUGUCUUUGCUGGAGGAAAUUUCAUUGCAGCCCGUAAGAAGAUGAGCUACUUUCAGCUUUCAUGCCGGAUGACUGCGGGGGAUUUUUGACAGAGGCCUCUGCAUCAGACUGCUGUUGUAACAGUGCCGUUGACUAAUUGGAAUAAAUGAUGAGGUUUUGCUUUCGGACACAAUCAGUCUGAAUGUAGCCUUAAACAUCUUUGACAUUCGGCGGGCACAGUUUUGUUGCACUGCAAAUUUUGCCAUCCAAUUUGCAUGUAUCUGUAACGAUAAAAACUACUUGUGACCCAGCUAGAACUCAAGUGGACAUAGAGGGGAACAUGUUGAGCAAAAUACUUUGAAUUUAGACGCUGUGGUAACUUGGCAGAUGGAGUUGUUGAUAGAUUUGCAGUGGCACUGGAAAAUGCUACACUAGUAAUACAGAAGUAGCUGACACAAUGACUGAUGGCACUCCAAAAGUGGCCUUGUUUUGAUAUUUAAUAGGCCUAGUACCCCCCAGUGAGAGACAAAGCACAUGAUAAGGUUUAACCGGGGCUGUGACAGAAUAGCCUACUGGUUGCUACCAGGAUUGACAGGCUGAUGGGAAAAUGAGUUUCCAGAGCAUUGUGAGAGAGGCCAUGGUUUACUGAUGCCACCAGAGCAGGGCUUGGCACAAAGACAUACACAAGCACACACCCAAAGACACACACAAGGAUCACCUGCCUGGAGACAGGGUGGAUUAUGGGGAAUUAGGGGGCACUGUGUGACUUGGCACUGAAACCGGGGGUCCUGUUGUUGUCGGCGCUGGAUCUGAAAUCCUGCCAAAACACACUGACACACUCUUACAAAGGAAAGCGCACAGAAGAAAGGGACACUGAUAUGGACACAUGCACAAGGUAAAGACAGACACACUUGUGUCCAUGUGCCUGUGUUGACACAUACUGGUGCAGUAUUUGUGUCAGCACAUACACACCCACACAAAUGUGUGUGUGGGGUGUGUGUGUAUGUGCCUGUAACACAACCUGUAACACAUUAGGAGUCACAGUACAUUGCAUGUACACAGUCUUAUACACACACACACACACACACACACCAGCUCCCAGCAGAGUAAGUGUGUCCCCUAUCCAACAGUAGCAACUGUAACAAUGACAGGCUUAGCCGUGCAACAGUAGCCCCCCCUGUAGAUUGACAUACGAGACCGCUGUUCGCACAGUGCAACCAUUCACAGCCUCGGAGCUUGAUAAUUCACUUUUAGCCAACACUAACCUGCAGCUGUGCACUGUUAUAAUUAACAGCGAGGCCUUUACAUGAAAUGUCAAUCUGUAUUCAGGUUUUAAGCGACAAGCAUAUCCAACUAAUGUCAACUGUGGUGUGGCUGACUGGAUGAAGGGAAUCAUUUGAUAUAGAGAGCCUACUGUAAUACUGCAAUUGCAUUUCAGUGAUCUAAGACAAAUUAAGUCAGGGCAAAUCACAGCAAAAAAGACAGUGAUGAUUUGACACAGUGUACAUCGAUUUGACCAAACUAAAGUCAAGGUUUACUUACAACUCAACUGUCAGUGGACAGAAUUAGAGCCUCUUUUCAACGAUAUAUUCAGGAAAUAACAGUCAGUGGAUCUUAAACCGGCAGUAGACACAUUAUCUUCUUCAACCUAGACCAGGAGUGCCCAACCAGUCUGAUCCCAAGUCCACCAGGAAGGGUGCAGGAAAAAAUACAAAAUAAACUUUUUUUGUGUGUGUUAUAUUCUAUAUUAAAUGUACACUACAACUACAGCCUACUAAGAGUCCUAUCCUGCGCACCCUAUCAGUCUCUUAAACACAUCCACAAAAAAAGGAUUAAAAAAAAGAACAACUUAGGUCACGUUUGACCUAUGGUUGCGCGCGACAUGCAUAACAGGAAGUUGCCAGCUGUCAACAGUAGAAGCUAGCAAGCGAUUAGAGCGGUCACGCACUCCUAAAAGUUAACAUGGCUGAGGGGAAACGAGCCAAGGCCUACCAUUUUCACCCUGAAUGUGAGGAAGAAUAUUUUUUUUGUUUGUUUAUAGUAUUCAAAGACUGUUUGUUUGAUCUGCAGCGCAACGGUGUCGUUGGCAAAGAAAGGGAAUCCGGAGCGGCAUUUUAAAACGGUACACGGAAGCUACGAGAGGGAUUUCCCUGCAAAAACGCCUUUACGCGGCUCAGAAGUGCGGGAUUUGAAAGCACAGCUUGCAGCUCGACCGUCAAUCUUCACCAAACCGAAGUACCAGCGUAAGGUCGCGACUAUCGCUUCCUAUCGCGUCAGUCACGUCCUUGCUAAACACGAGAAGCUAUUUCAAAGACGGCGAUAUUGUGAAGGAAGCCUUUCUCGAGGCAGCGGAUAGCCGUUUUGACGACUUGAAAAAUAAAACAGAGACCGUAAAGGCCAUUAAAGAAGUGCAAUUCUCCCGUAGUACUGCUACGAGGCGAUGUGAGGGAAUGGCUGUGGAUGUGGAGGAGCAGCUGAAGAAGGAUAUCGACGCGUGUGAGUGUUUUCCCUUCAGUUUGACGAGUCGACUGAUGUGGUGGAUGUAGCACAAUUUGUGUGUUUUCAUCAGGAUGGUUUUUGAAGACAUGAGCGCCAAGGAAGAGCUACUCACCAUGUUGCCAUGAAAAGGACAUACCAGAGGUGAGGAUAUUUUUAAUGCUUUCAUGGGAUUUGUUAACGGGACAAAACUGCCACUCUUCAAGCUGAUCUCCAUCACAACCCAUGCGGCGCCUGCUAUGAUGGGCCGCACCAGUGGGUUUGUUGCACUGUGCAAAGAAAGUGAAUCUUUUCCCGGAUAUCCUGAAUUAUCAUUGUGUAAUUCACCAGCAAGCGUUGUGUGGAAGGAUUGUAAAUAUGCAGGAAGUGAUAUGGAUAUUGCGAUGAAGAUUGUGUGUUCAGUUCGGGCCAGGAGUCUGCAGAGAAGGCUUUUCCGAGCUCACUUGGAGGAGAAAGAUGCUGAGCUCACAGAUCUGCUGCUUCACACGGAUGUAAGGUGGUUAAGCAGUGAUAAAAUUUUGGCCAGGUUUACAGAGCUGUUGCCUGAAAUCAAGGACUUCCUGAAGCUUUCACAACAUGUGGAUUACCAUACAAAGCUAGAGGACCACCAGUGGCUUUUAGAUUUAUCUCUCCUCACUGAUCUCGCUGGCGAGCUCAAUGAAUUGAAUUUAGAGCUGCAGGGUAAGGGUAAAGAUGUAGUCAACACGAUGAGUUCAGUGAACACGUUUAAAAAGCAAGCUACAGCUGGUGUCAAGCAGGCUGCAGCGUGGUGACCUGCACAACUUCCCUCACAUGCAAGCAGAACUACAGCGUCAAGGUAAAGGUGUGACACUGGUUGACAGUGCACGUUAUUAGGAGCAUGUUCAGAGCAUCUGGUCAGAGUUUGAGAGGCGUUUUACCGACUUUGCAUCCGUCGAGCCUGUAGCCAGCUAUAUGUGUUAUCCAUUUGGUGCAAGUAUUGAUGUUGGUGACAUUGCCACCAAAGUCAGAUCAUUUUUCGUCUUGGAAAGCUCCGCUCUUGAGGAUGAGAUUCUGACAUAUUGCAAAAUGACAUUUAGAUCAAAGCCAGAUCAACAUCCGCUCAACCUGGAGAGCAUGCAGUGUUCUAGAAACUACUGAUGGAGGAGAAGUAUCCCAGUCUCAGAAGAUGUGCCUUGAACCUGACAGCUGUUUUUGGAUCAACUUAUUUGUGCGAGUCUGCUUUCUCGCACAUGAAAAUCAUCAAAUCCAACUAGAGAUCAGCAAUGACUGACGAGCACCUUGCAACCUGCCUACGCCUUGCAACCAGCUCCUACACUCCUGACUACGAGAAGCUAGCCGCCUCCUCCCAGUGCCACGUCUCCCACUAAGGUCACGACAGCAAAGUACAUGGCGGGAUUAAAGGGUUAUGAAUAGGUCCUUUGGUUGGACUUUUAUCCAUCCAGGGAAGCUGCACUUGAGAUCGUCGAACAGCACAGGAAAUCUCUGCCGAAGAAAAAAAAAGUACAUCAUUGGCAGUUCUUUUGGCCAAAAAGGGCGGACUGGGCAGAUUAAUGUGAUGAAUUAAUGGUCAGAGGAACUGGAUGUGAAGGCUGCUUCCCACCACUGGAAUCCUGCAGAAAGGUAAGUGAGAGGGGCAGAACGUGAUGUUCCUGCCGUACACAUGUUGAGGUCGAUGCUGUGGAUAGAAAGACCGUCCUUUAACAGAGAGGUCCCGAGUUUAGUUCCAAGAAUAGUUAACAUGUGUGUCUGUAUUCAGACAUGUGAGUGUCCCUGAAUAAGACACUGUGUUGCUUUGCUGUACGAUGAGUGAACCAGAAAAUUGGUUAACAUGGUUUUCUAAUUUUGAGCUACUUUUUCAAAAAGCUUAUUUGUUUCUCAGCAGUUGAGGCGAAGGGAUCCUUCAUUUCAUUGACUUUAAUCUAUGUUUUAGUCAGUUUUGUUAACUUGUUAUUACACAUUUAUUGUUUCUUUUCCAUUUCUGUAUUUUUUUAAAGGUUAUAUCAUUGAAUAUAAAAUAUAAAUAUAUAGACGUAUUCUUGUUUUUUUUGUUUUCUGGAUUUUUACAAAUGAGUCAUCCGUAAAUCACUUUGAAUCAUUUCCACGUGUAGAAAUCAAGUGUGAAUGCACACAAUUGUUUGAAAGUGAAAAUGUGAAUCUCACAUGUAGAAAUGUCCAUGUGCAUAUCAAAAAAAGUGACUCACUUGUGAGCAUGUGACAUUAUUUUGUCUUCAUAUGCUCACAUUUUAGUUGUAAAUGUAAAAGUAGCCAGUUGCAUGCUUGUAAAUGUGGAAUUAACAUGUGAAGAAGCAGAUUCCACAUGAUUUCAUGUGCCAUGUUUUUCUUUCCACAUGUGGAAAUUCUAAUCCACAUCUGAAAUAUGCCAAUCACAUAUGAACGUGUGGGAUUCAUGUGGAAAUGUACA